rnacentral:rRNA from 1 species
AGCGAACGCUGGCGGCAGGCCUAACACAUGCAAGUCGAACGAAGUCUUCGGACUUAGUGGCGGACGGGUGAGUAACACGUGGGAACGUGCCUUUAGGUUCGGAAUAACUCAGGGAAACUUGUGCUAAUACCGAAUGUGCCCUUCGGGGGAAAGAUUUAUCGCCUUUAGAGCGGCCCGCGUCUGAUUAGCUAGUUGGUGAGGUAAAGGCUCACCAAGGCUACGAUCAGUAGCUGGUCUGAGAGGAUGACCAGCCACAUUGGGACUGAGACACGGCCCAAACUCCUACGGGAGGCAGCAGUGGGGAAUCUUGCGCAAUGGGCGAAAGCCUGACGCAGCCAUGCCGCGUGGAUGAUGAAGGUCUUAGGAUUGUAAAAUCCUUUCACCGGUGAAGAUAAUGACUGUAGCCGGAGAAGAAGCCCCGGCUAACUUCGUGCCAGCAGCCGCGGUAAUACGAAGGGGGCUAGCGUUGCUCGGAAUUACUGGGCGUAAAGGGAGCGUAGGCGGACAUUUAAGUCAGGGGUGAAAUCCCGAGGCUCAACCUCGGAACUGCCUUUGAUACUGGAUGUCUUGAGUGUGAGAGAGGUAUGUGGAACUCCGAGU